rnacentral:lncRNA from 1 species
CGACGUCGUCCAGCAAGCUGGCACCCUGGGGGGGCUCAAUCGCGGCCGUGGAGUACUCUGCUACCCCAUUCAAAAGAGCCGGGGGUGCUGCUCCUGCCGGGUCAGGGCCCCGUGUAACUCCCCCCACGUCCCCCCCAACCCCACCGGCAACCCCGCUACAGCUGCUGCAGCUGCGUUUUGUGUCGCGAUGGUUACUGCUCUCAUUUCCUUUAGGCCCUGCUAGGCUAGCAUCAUUGCCCCCACCAUCAGCUACUCCAGAUGCCCCACUUGGUUCACACUCUUCCGCCGCCGCGUCGCUCCGGGCACCCCCCAACCCUACGGGCGCCUUCGCCGCCGUGUCAGCAGCAGUGGCUGCCGUACUUCCCCUCGUCGCCGGUGCACCCGGCACGAUCGACGUCCCUGCCCCAUCACCACCCGCCNN